rnacentral:tRNA from 1 species
GCCGCGGCCGCUCAACCUGGUGGAGCGGAAGGCCGAUACCCUUCUGCCAGUGAUGGCAUCCGGGUUCAAAUCCUUAGUCGGAUUUCCUUCUUGGGUGAGACUCCCAGCCGCGGCG